UGAAGACUUAAAGAAAAGAUACAGUUGCUCGCCUCAAAGCUGGAAGAAACUGAAGGCAGACUUCUUUCAGAGCACCUCAGAACACAAGUAAAACCCAGGGCUACUGUAAAGAAGGUUACCAACCGGCACAAUCAACCAAUUAGAAA
rnacentral:lncRNA from 1 species